rnacentral:rRNA from 1 species
AUACGGGGGGUGCAAGCGUUAUUCGGAUUUAUUGGGCGUAAAGGGCGCGUAGGCGGCUUGGUAAGUCAGAUGUGAAAGCCCGGGGCUCAACCCCGGAAGUGCAUUUGAAACUAUCAGGCUUGAGUAUGGGAGAGGGAAGUGGAAUUCCUGGUGUAGAAGUGAAAUUCGUAGAUAUCAGGAGGAACACCGGUGGCGAAGGCGACUUCCUGGACCAAUACUGACGCUGAGGCGCGAAGGCGUGGGGAGCAAACAGGAUUAGAAACCCCAGUAGUCC